rnacentral:rRNA from 1 species
CGGCACGGGUGAGUAACACGUAUCCAACCUGCCGUCUACUCUUGGACAGCCUUCUGAAAGGAAGAUUAAUACAAGAUGGCAUCAUGAGUCCGCAUGUUCACAUGAUUAAAGGUAUUCCGGUAGACGAUGGGGAUGCGUUCCAUUAGAUAGUAGGCGGGGUAACGGCCCACCUAGUCUUCGAUGGAUAGGGGUUCUGAGAGGAAGGUCCCCCACAUUGGACUGAGACACGGUCCAA